UAUGGUGAUUGUUUCCAGUAACUCCCAUCGAAGCUAAGCUAAUAAAUCCAUUGGCAACUGGGGAUUAAUGGGAGUAUUAAACCAACUAUCAUGUUAAUUCUCCUGGAAACAGGGAUUUGUUUAGAAGUAGUCCAACUGGCCGGUUGAGGUGGCCCAUGCCUGUAAUCCCAGCACUUUGGGAGGCUGAGGUGGGCGGAUCACAAGGUCAGGAGUUUGAGACCAGCCUGGCCAACAUGGUGAAACCCCGUCUCUACUAAAAAUACAAAAAUUAGCUGGCACGGUGGCAGGUACCUAUAAUUCCAGCUACUCGAGAGACUGAAGCAGGAGAAUUGCUUAAACCCAGAAGGCGGAGGUUGCAGUGAGCUGAGAUCAUGCCACUGUACUCCAGCCUGAGUGACAAAGCGAGACUCCGUCUUAAAAAAAAAAGUGGUCCAAUCCAGCCCCAACUCAAGAUUUUUGUUUUAUGGUUGUUGGAAAUGAUGCUUGCUUCCUCCUAUUCCUCCUAUAUGUGAACAGAACCAACUCACGAUCAUGUAUGUAUAUGUUCUUGGAGCCAUCUUGCAGUUAUUAAUAGUUAGCAUAAGGAUAAAUGGACACAUAGGGAAUGGGAGACAGAAAGGGUAGGCCUGAGAAUCAGCGACAACGCCCCUGGGAAGCAGAGGAGGAAGGAGAGUAGAGGUGGAGGUGACCGCAGGCCGAGUCGCUACCGGGAUGUCCGGGCAGCCGCCGCCACAGCCAGCGGCCUUGGCCCCAGUCUCCGGAGUCGUCCUGCCCGCGCCCCCGGCCGUCAGCGCCGGCUCCUCUCCGGCCCGCUCGCCUGGCCGCCCUGCUCCUCUACCCUCUGCCGCCCCCGCCGCCCCCUGCUUCGGCGGCCGCUUCCGCCAGCGGGUCCCCUCGGCCUAGCCGCUGGCCCCGGCCCGGGCGGAAGCACCCCGGCCCCAGCCCUGGUGGCGGGCAGCAGCGCAGCGGCCACCUUCCCGCACGGGGACUCGGCCCUCAACGAGCAGGAGAAGGAGCUGCAGCCGCGGCUGAAGCGCCUCGACCCGGCUGUGAACGAGCAGGAGACGCCGCUGCCCCGCUCCUGGAGCAGGAAGGACAAGGUCGGCUACAUCGGCCUCUCUCAGAACAACCUGCGGGUGCACUACAAAGGUCAUGGCAAAGCCCCAAAAGAUGCAGCAUCAGUUCGAGCCACGCAUCCAAUACCAGCAGCCUGUGGGAUUUAUUAUUUUGAAGUAAAAAUUGUAAGGGAAGAGAUGGUUACAUGGGAAUUGGUCUUUCUGCUCAAGGUGUGAACAUGAAUAGACUACCAGGUUGGGAUAAGCAUUCAUAUGGUUACCAUGGGGAUGAUGGACAUUCAUUUUGUUCUUCUGGAACUGGACAACCUGAUGGACCAGCUUUCACAACUGGUGAUGUCAUUGGCUGUUGUGUUAAUCUUAUCAACAAUACCCGCUUUUACAUCAAGAAUGGACAUAGUUUAGGUAUUGCUUUCACUGACCUACCGCCAAAUUUGUAUCCUACCAUGGGGCUUCGGACACCAGGAGAAGUGGUUGAUGCCAAUUUUGGUCAACAUCCUUUCGUGUUUGAUAUAGAAGACUAUAUGUGAGAGUGGAGAACCAAAAUCCAGGCACAGAUAGACCGGUUUCCUAUCGGAGACCGAGAAGGAGAAUGGCAGACCAUGAUACAAAAAAUGGUUUCAUCUUAUUUAGUCCACCAUGGGUACUGUGCCACAGCAGAGGCCUUUGCCAGAUCUACAGACCAGACCGGUCUAGAAGAAUUGGCUUCCGUUAAGAAUAGACAAAGAAUUCAGAAAUUGCUAUUAGCAGGAAGAAUGGGAGAAGCCAUUGAAACAACACAACAGUUAUACCCAAGUUUCCUUGAAAGAAAUCCUAAUCUCCUUUUCACAUUAAAAGUACGUCCGUUUAUAGAAAUGGUGAAUGGUACACAUAGUGAAGUACGAUGUUUGGGAGGCCGAAGUCCAAAGACUCAAGACAGUUAUCCUGUUAGUCCUCGACCUUUUAGUAGUCCAAGUAUGAUCCCCAGCCAUGGAAUGAAUAUCCACAAUUUAGCAUCAGGCAAAGGAAGGACUGCACAUUUUUCUGGUUUUGAAAGUUGUAGUAAUGGUGUAAUAUCAAAUAAAGCACAUCAAUCAUAUUGCCAUAGUAAUAAACACCAGUCAUCCAAUUUGAAUGUACCAGAACUGAACAGCAUAAAUAUGUCAAGAUCACAGCAAGUUAAUAACUUCACCAGUAAUGAUGUAGACAUGGAAACAGAUCACUACUCCAAUGGAGUUGGAGAAACUUCAUCCAAUGGUUUCCUAAAUGGUAGCUCUAAACAUGAUCAUGAAAUGGAAGAUUGUGACACCAAAAUGAAAGUUGAUUCGUCAGAUGAGAUGUCAGUUGUGUGGAGGAAGUCAGGCCACCAUAGAAAGAGUGACCACUUUGGAUGAGAGCUGCAAGCAAUGAGUGAACAGCUAAGGAGAGACCGUGGCAAGAACACUGCAAAUAAAAAAAUGUUGAAGGCAUAGUCAGAUCCCUGGAACAGCCCAGUUGGAAAUCAGCUUGACCCAAUUCAGAGAGAACCUAUGUGCUCAGCUCUUAACAGUGCAAUAUUAGAAACCCAGAGUCUGCCAAAGCAACCUCCCUUGCCCGAGUAAUGGGACAGGCCACACAAUGUCUAGGACUGAUGGCUCCAUCAGGAAUUGGAUCCUGUGCAUUCACCGCAAUGGAAGACUACCUACAUUAGCUAUGCAUUUCAAGAGUUCACACUUAUAUUGUGGCAUAUAGUCAACAUGGAAAUAGACCAGCUCUGCUGAUUUGAAAUUUAGAUUUUUAAAAUUAUGUACUGGGGACAGGUUUUUGUCGCUUUACAUUGCUUCCUAGUUUACAGCAUGAUGCAAAUGAUUUUCUAACUUAGUGUUAGGAGAAAUUAUUUUCCAUCUUUAACCUCUUAGUUGUCUAAGAGUUAAAUAUUACUGAAUUUCAGAUGUUCAAAUUGAUCAUCACAAAUUCUUUAAAACAAUUACCUAUAAGAAACCAAAAAUCCUGCCUUCUUUGUGGGGGAGGGGUGAAAGAGGGGAAGGAAAUGGAACAAGUUUUGUUUGUGUUAGCAUGUGGGUGAUGUAAACUUCAAAUUGGGAGAUGUUCCAACCCCUGCUCCCAUAUAAGCAUUCAAUCAGUGUAACUUGCAAAAUGCAUAAACAUCCGACAGUUUGAAUUUAUAGUGUUGAUGGAAGAAAUCAUUUUUCAUGUGUACUGUAAAACUUGAAAUACUCAGGAGCUGAGUGAAUAUGUUUGUUGCUACUUACAAUUCCAACCUGUUAGUCCCAGUAGGUUUGUUUUAACAUGGUCUUUUCCAGCUUUGUUUUCUGUUUAACUACAGAUGACUUCUGUUGUAGACUCGCAAGUUUAACUGUUGUAUUAUAACAGUAUUACAUGUCAACGGUGUGGUUAUGACCUUUAUUUAUAUAAAAAACAAAUAUUUAGUCAAUUUACUGUGUCUUAAUUUAAUCUUUGUAAAUCUUCCAUUUUUAAGUGCUUAAAUGAGUACUACAUUGCAAUAAAAUGUAGUGAUUAAUUAACCAGCCAUUAAAAAUUUACUUCUACAAAAAAAGAAAAAGAAAACGAGUCCUGAUCAAACCUUGCCUGAAGCCUCCACUCUUCCACUUUUCAUUUGUGUGAAUCUGUAAGUUGUGCUUAUUUUUCAAAGACAGUUAAUAUUUAGAUAUUCUGUUACCUGAAAUCAAAAGCACCCAGACUGAUAAACUUACUUAAACCACUAGCAAGUCAUGUAACACCUGUUUUCAAAACUGUACACCAAAUCUGGCCAUAUCUCACUGUUACCAUCACCACCAUCUAGCUCAAGGCAGCAGCAUCUUGGUCUGAACUUCUGGACUAAUGUAAAAAUCCCUACUUCACUUUCCAGCCUCUACUAUUCAAUGUAGCCACAAACAGCAGCCAGAGAGAUCAGUUAAAAAUGGAAACCAGAUCUGAUUACUUUCCUGCUAAAAACCUUUCAAAGAUUUUCAUUUGCUCUUCAAAUAAAACUCGCUCUUCUCCUUCCCCGUCCCUGCCAGUCCUACUGGAUGGACAUGGCCCCUGCGUCUCCUGUUGCUUCUCUUUGGGCUCUCUGCCCCAGCCUUAUACCUCUUCGUGGUCCUUGAACAGCCAUGCCCUUUCCCACUGCUGUUCCUCCUGCCUGAAAUAUUUCCCUUUUGCACUCACCUGACUGCUUUAUUCUUAUCCUUUAAGUCACAGCUCGAAUAUCACCUCCUCAGAGAGGUCUUUCUUGACCACCUCUCCCAGCUUCCCUAUCUGAUCCCUAGUUUGUCCUCCAAAGUGCUUACCACAAUUUGUAAUGAUCUCUUUUAUACAUUUACUUGUUUGUUGUCAGUACAACGUAAGCCCCUCAUGAGGACCUUGUCUGUCCCGUUUAAACUUUGUCCCUGAUUUAUAGGUAGGCUCAGUAAAUAUUUGUUGAAUUGUCGUUGAAUGUUGAACACCCAACAGCUGCUCUGCAACAGGAAAUGCCAUAGGGAGGGGCACCCAGAGUGCCCCCCAGUGGCACUUUAGGGCUGGCAUAGAGGUUUUCAGAGCUGAGUCCAAUGACACAACUUGAAACAUUGAUCUGAAUCAUCUGGCAGGUCAGAGACAAUGAACACCCAGUCAGAGGCUGGGAAGUGACAGAGGGGCAGCUAGGAUCAUAAUCUGUUGCUUUGGCUGAACACACUGCAACGUCAGUAACAUCGAUUUACUUGGGAGUUUGUCAGAAAUGCACCCUUGGGCCGGGCAUGGAGGUUCAUGCCUGUAAUCCCAAUGCUUUGGGAAGCCAGGGCAGGUGGAUCACGAGGUCAAGAAAUCAAGACCAUCCUCGCUAACACAGUGAAACCCUGUCUCUGCUAAAAAUAUAAAAAAUAGGCAGGCGAGGUAAAACACGCCUGUAGUCCCAGCUACUUGGGAGGCUGAGACAAGGCAAAUUGCUUGAACCUGGGAGGUGGAGGUUGCAGUGAGCCGAGAUCAUGCCACUGCACUCCAGCCUGGUGACAGAGUGAGACUCCAUCUCAAAAAAAAAAAAAAAAAAGAAGCAGAAAUGCACCAUUGAUCCCUACUCAGGCCUACUGAAGCAGAGUCUGUGUUUAACAAGAUCCCAGGUGAUUUGUGUGCACCUAAGAGUUUGAGACAUGCUCCGUACAGCAUCCUAGAUUGCACUGCCCGCAUUGAUAUCCAAAAAUCCCUGUGCCCGGAGGCAGAAACCAAGCUUUCUCAUUUACUGUAUGACCUUAAGCAGUAGUUUUAGCCUCUUAUGCUUUAAUGUCUCUGCUAAAAACCCUGGGCCUAUUAUUUUGUAGAGGAUAUCAUGAGGAUAAAAUGAAAAGACUUGGGCUGAGGCUCUCCUGCUGGCCUAUGGUCUUUGGAAUUUGGAGGAACUAGUAAGAGAAAGAUGAGAGCAAGCCAUAGAACAAGGGCAAGUGAAGAGGAGUGAACAUCUAGAGAGAAAUAUAUAUUCAUAGAAAACAGCAAACAAUGGCCUCAGAGAUAAUUCAGAGUAAAACUCAACUAAAUCACUCUUCAUGAGACAGAACUGUUCAUACCAUCUCCCAAAAGGGGUGUUUCUCACUCAUGGCUGAGCAUUAGAAUCACCUGGGAGCUUAAAAAGCCCAAGCCCACCAGUCUUCUAAACCUAUUACAUCAGAAUCUCUGUACAAGGGACCUAGACAGCUAUAACUGUAAAGCUCUCUGGUGCUUCACAAGUUUUAAGGUGCGCGCAAACCACCUCUGGGGAGUUGUUGAAAUACGGAUUUGGA